UACGGGGGGAGCAAGCGUUGUUCGGAUUUACUGGGCGUAAAGGGCGCGUAGGCGGUCGUGACAAGUCACUUGUGAAAUCUCCGGGCUUAACUCGGAACGGUCAAGUGAUACUGUCGGACUAGAGUACAGAAGGGGCAACUGGAAUUCUCGGUGUAGCGGUGAAAUGCGUAGAUAUCGAGAGGAACACCUGCGGCGAAGGCGGGUUGCUGGGCUGAUACUGACGCUGAGGAGCGAAAGCGUGGGGAGCGAAACAGGAUUAGAACCUACCGUAGUCA
rnacentral:rRNA from 1 species